ACUGAGUGGCGGACGGGUGAGUAACGCGUGGGUAACCUGCCUCAUACAGGGGGAUAACAGUUAGAAAUGACUGCUAAUACCGCAUAAGACCACAGUACCGCAUGGUACAGGGGUAAAAACUCCGGUGGUAUGAGAUGGACCCGCGUCUGAUUAGGUAGUUGGUGGGGUAACGGCCUACCAAGCCGACGAUCAGUAGCCGACCUGAGAGGGUGACCGGCCACAUUGGGACUGAGACACGGCCUAA
rnacentral:rRNA from 1 species